UAGGGAAUCUUCCGCAAUGGGCGAAAGCCUGACGGAGCAACGCCGCGUGAGUGAUGAAGGUCUUCGGAUCGUAAAACUCUGUUAUUAGGGAAGAACAAAUGUGUAAGUAACUAUGCACGUCUUGACGGUACCUAAUCAGAAAGCCACGGCUAACUACGUGCCAGCAGCCGCGGUAAUACGUAGGUGGCAAGCGUUAUCCGGAAUUAUUGGGCGUAAAGCGCGCGUAGGCGGUUUUUUAAGUCUGAUGUGAAAGCCCACGGCUCAACCGUGGAGGGUCAUUGGAAACUGGAAAACUUGAGUGCAGAAGAGGAAAGUGGAAUUCCAUGGGUAGCGAUGAAAUGCGCAGAGAUAUGGAGGAACACCAGUGGCGAAGGCGACUUUCUGGUCUGUAACUGACGCUGAUGUGCGAAAGCGUGGGGAUCAAACAGG
rnacentral:rRNA from 1 species